AUUGAACGCUGGCGGCAUGCUUUACACAUGCAAGUCGAACGGGUGAAGGGGCAACUCUUCAUUCAGUGGCGAACGGGUGAGUAAUGCAUCGGAACGUACCUCGUAGUGGGGAGUAACUCGGCGAAAGCCGUGCUAAUACCGCAUAUGCUCUACGGAGGAAAGCAGGGGACCGUGAGAGGGCCUUGUUGCUAUGGGAGCGGCCGAUGUCCGAUUAGCUAGUUGGUGGGGUAA
rnacentral:rRNA from 1 species